AAGUCGUAACAAGGUCUCCGUUGGUGAACCAGCGGAGGGAUCAUUGAUGGAAUAAACGCCUUCACAGGCGCUACCCAUAAACCCUUUGUGAAUACUACCUAAAAAACGUUGCCUCGGCAUUGGUUGGCCUCUUUGAGGUCCCUUCUCUAGGGAAGAAGCAGACCGGCCGGUGGCCCUAUAAACUCUUGUCUUUGUAAUAUCAUCUGAGUAAAACAACUAAAAUGAAUCAAAAC
rnacentral:misc_RNA from 1 species